AUGAAGGGUUGGGGGGCCAAUUUGGGCCGCGAUGCCAGCGAGCGUAAGAAGGCGCUGCUGACCACGAUUCAGGCUCUCGACCUUCGGGCUGACGCGGUUGGUCUCUCUCCGGACGAGUGGCUUUCCCGAUAUGACCUCGAAGACCAACUUUCCGUGAUCUACACCGAUGAGGCAGCCUAUUGGCGCAUUCGGGGCGCGCAGAGAUGGGUCCUGAAGGGAGACGCAAAUACAGCAUACUUCCAGGCUAUCGCCAAUGGCUGCCGUAGACGCAACACCAUCCCCCUUCUCUGGGAUGGGGAGACUCUCCUUCAGGACCCUCGCGACAUCCGGGCCCAUGUCGAUGGCUUCUAUAGGUCCCUCUUUUCUGCCGCUCCUAGGAGCGGCAUCUCUCUUGCCCCCGAUUGUUGGGCUGGUUCCCAGCUGGUGUCCAAUUUGGAGAACGAGGCCCUGUCGGCCCCCUUCUCUGAGCAGGACGUUUGGGAGGCCAUCAAGGGCAUGAAUGCUUCCUCGGCGCCGGGACCGGAUGGCCUCCCGGUCAUAUUUUUCUAGACCUUCUGGAAUGUGAUUAAACCUGAGGUCAUGGCCAUCUUCGAUGAAUUCUAUGUUGGCUCAAUUGACCUGGGUCGCCUCAACUACGGGAUCAUCUCUCUCAUCCCCAAGGUCCCUGGGGCAUCCGACAUCCGCCAAUUCCGCCCGAUCAUGGUGAUUAAUGUGAUCUUCCGGAUCCUGGCCAAAGGGUACGCCAUAGGGUGA
rnacentral:rRNA from 1 species